rnacentral:misc_RNA from 1 species
GAUGAAGAACGCAGCGAAAUGCGAUAAGUAAUGUGAAUUGCAGAAUUCAGUGAAUCAUCGAAUCUUUGAACGCACAUUGCGCCCGCCAGUAUUCUGGCGGGCAUGCCUGUCCGAGCGUCAUUUCAACCCUCGAACCCCUCCGGGGGUCCGGCGUUGGGGAUCGGGAACCCCUAAGACGGGAUCCCGGCCCCGAAAUACAGUGGCGGUCUCGCCGCAGCCUCUCAUGCGCAGUAGUUUGCACAACUCGAACCGGGAGCGCGGCGCGUCCACGUCCGUAAAACACCCAACUUCUGAAAUGUUGACCUCGGAUCAGGUAGGAAUACCCGCUGAACUUAAGCAUAUCAAUAAGCGGAGGA